GGCCAAUUGGCCCAAUGGGUACGAAAAUCAAUUCCCUCGCUUAUUCGAUCAAAACUAACCGACAACUACAGCAAGGCGCUUGACUACGAAUCAAGAGAUUGCAGGUUCGAUCCCUGCAUUGGUCA